rnacentral:rRNA from 1 species
AGGACGAACGCUGGCGGCGUGCUUAACACAUGCAAGUCGAGCGGAAGGGCCCUUCGGGGUACUCGAGCGGCGAACGGGUGAGUAACACGUGAGCAACCUGCCCUUAGCUUCGGGAUAGCUCCGGGAAACCGGAAUUAAAUACCGAAUAUGACUUUGGCUGACAUCAGCAGAAGUGGAAAGUUUUUCGGCUAGGGAUGGACUCGCGGCCUAUCAGCUAGUUGGUGAGGUAACGGCCCACCAAGGCGACGACGGGUAGCCGGCCUGAGAGGGCGACCGGCCAACGACCUGGGAACUGAGACACGGCCCAGACUCCUACGGGAGGCAGCAGUGGGGAAUAUUGCGCAAUGGGCGAAAGCCUGACGCAGCGACGCCGCGUGGGGGAUGAAUGCCUUCGGGUUGUAAACCCUUUCAGCAGGGACGAAGCGAAAGUGACGGUACCUGCAGAAGAAGCGCCGGCUAACUACGGUGCCAGCAGCCAC